rnacentral:rRNA from 1 species
GACGAACGCUGGCGGCGUGCCUAAUACAUGCAAGUAGAACGCUGAAGGAGGAGCUUGCUCUUCUGGAUGAGUUGCGAACGGGUGAGUAACGCGUAGGUAACCUGCCUGGUAGCGGGGGAUAACUAUUGGAAACGAUAGCUAAUACCGCAUAACAGUAGAUGUUGCAUGACAUUUGCUUAAAAGGUGCAAUUGCAUCACUACCAGAUGGACCUGCGUUGUAUUAGCUAGUUGGUGGGGUAACGGCUCACCAAGGCGACGAUACAUAGCCGACCUGAGAGGGUGAUCGGCCACACUGGGACUGGGACACGGCCCAGACUCCUACGGGAGGCAGCAGGAGGGAAUCUUCGGCAAUGGACGGAAGUCUGACCGAGCAACGCCGCGUGAGUGAAGAAGGUUUUCGGAUCGUAAAGCUCUGUUGUAAGAGAAGAACGAGUGUGAGAGUGGAAAGUUCACACUGUGACGGUAUCUUACCAGAAAGGGACGGCUAACUACGUG